rnacentral:rRNA from 1 species
AACGAACGCUGGCGGCGUGCCUAACACAUGCAAGUCGAACGGAAUUUGAGAGCUUGCUCUUAAAUUUAGUGGCGCACGGGUGAGUAACGCGUAGAUAAUCUGCCUGGCGAUCUGGGAUAACACUUCGAAAGAGGUGCUAAUACCGGAUAAGCCCACGGAGUCUUUGGAUUCUGCGGGAAAAGGGGGGGACCUUCGGGCCUUCUGUCGUCAGAUGAGUCUGCGUACCAUUAGCUAGUUGGUAGGGUAAUGGCCUACCAAGGCGACGAUGGUUAGCUGGUCUGAGAGGAUGAUCAGCCACACUGGAACUGGUACACGGUCCAGACUCCUACGGGAGGCAGCAGUGGGGAAUUUUGCGCAAUGGGCGAAAGCCUGACGCAGCAACGCCGCGUGAGUGAUGAAGGCUUUCGGGUCGUAAAGCUCUGUCGAGGGGAAAGAAGUGUACUUUGGCUAAUAUCCAUUGUACUUGACGGUACCCCUAAAGGAAGCACCGGCUAACUCCGUGCCAGCCGCCGCCGUAAAAC